AGGAGCCCAGCGAGGGUGCCUACAAGAGGAGUCAAAGGGCAAAGGUCCUGGGGUACUUAGCACCGUGGCAUAUCUGUAAUAAGCACAUGCACACCUCGAAGGAGGUCUUCACUUCAACAUACAAGUUGACCAUGGCAUGCUCUGGGCUCCAGUCCUCUACAAAGAUGUAGGGCAGGAACUACCAGUUGUCAGCACAGCACCAUCCCACAUUGCUCUUCUAAUGGAGACUUUCACCCCAGAUGUUCUUUCUCGUCUGAUGGGAAGGAUCCAAAUGAAAAAAUUGAGGCUCAAAGAAGUCCACCAAAUUGAGAGUGAAGUAGGGGAAACAGCAUUUAACGCUUACAUUCUAAUGAUUUGUGUAAGAGCAGCAGGACAAGCUAUACAAAGAAAAAGGUGGAAUUAUCAGGAUGGAAUUAAAGAUGCUUCCAAACAGAGGGGAUAUCUCAAGCCAUGACUCAGAGAGAUCCAAUCGAGUACCAGGUCCAGCGGUAAUCUAUUCGCAGAUGUAGUGGAACAAGUUCUCCCCACAUUAUUAAUGGUAUGGGAAUUAGGAGAAGGUCAUCUGACUCACAUGGAUCACCAUAUAAUUCCUUCUGGAGAACAGAAAAAAUGCAGAAGAGGAAAACCUCCAUAUGUGAAGCUAUGGCAAGGGAGUCUCCCCACCCCGCGCUCCAACAGAGUCUGGAGAUAAAGUAAGUUUGAGAAGCUAGAAAGUGUUUUUCCCCAUUAUCUCCCAAACACUGUCAUUUGGCUGCAUGCAGAUUUCACUCUGGCUUUGGCAAAUGUGUCCCUUUAUGUAACAAUAAACAAUUAUAUUGAAAAGCAAGAUUGGAGAAAAA
ensembl:lncRNA novel transcript